AAUCCCCAACAAUAUGAGGCAUCUAAGGGGGGCAAUGGACUACUUGCACUGAGCCUCAUGACGUGCUUCCACUUUGAAAUAGUGCGGCCCGCUUGUUUCCAAUUAUUUCCAAUCAAGGCCGAUUUGAGAAAGCAGAGGUUGGUAAACAUACGGCGAGACCAUUUCAUCGUUACUCCUCACACAAUAGUAUAUAGCAGACAUUUUACACCAGAUCAGCUCACUGAACCGCACACCGCAGAGGCUCGAAGGAGACUAGUGAAGGGUUCUGUGGCAGUGCUCUUUCAUUGGAACAACUACAUCCUUCCUACAACGUCCCAAUGUAUGGGAGAGGAGAGAGAGACCUGUCGAGGUAAUCACCGUUGAACCCAUUCCCAUGGAUGUAGCAAGUGAUCAUGAUUGCUCUACAGUUCCUGAGCCCUGAUCAUCAGACUUAAGUAGUUAUAAAAUACAAGAAAUCUCCAAUGAAGUGGAGGACCUGAGGAAUCAGCUACAGGAGCUACGUGUUCAGCGAGAGUUUGAAUUGCAGUGGUUUGUCGGCUCUGAUGAUGAUAUAUGAUUCUACACCAGAUUUCCCAGCUACGAUCACCUGAUGUCCUUUUGGUGGCUAAUCGAACCAUCUAUCUACAAAAUAGUUUGUGUUUCAAGGGACAAAGUUGCUGCUAAGAAAAUAUGAAGAGGUUACCCAUGCAUGCCCAUCAGCAGUAGACUAUUGUCACAUAUACAGUAUAUCAGUGUGUGUGUGGCUGUCACCAGCUGAGGUCAGAGCCAACCUCCCUGAAGUGUUCAGUGAUGAAUGGAUCCUUGACUGCACUGAGCUCAGGUGUCAAACAUCAUCCUCACCACUACUUCAAAGUGAACUGUACUCAAACUACAAAUCUCACUUCACUAUGAAAGAACUCAUUGGGAUAACACCACACGGUGCUGUGAUAUUUGUCUCUCAGCUUUAUGUUGGAUCAAUGAGUGAUCAGGAGAUCGUUAAACAGUCUGGAAUAGCCCGUUUACUGACAGAGGACAUGGCACUUAUGGUGGACAAGGGCUUCCUGAUGACUGAUUGUGUCAAGUGCAAGGUGUACUGCCCAUCAUUCCUGUGUAAGAAAAAUCAAAUGCCAGCCUACCAGGUGAGAGAAACACAAGCCAUAGCACGACUGAGAGUGCAUGUGGAACGAGUCUUCAGGAGUCAAUCUGUUUGAUGGUGUCAUCACUCAUUCCCAUACUGUAAAUACUAAUCAGUUGUUUACAGUUGCAUUUCUGCUGUCAAAUUAUCAGAACAAAGCACUAGUUAAGACAUGGGUCAAAUAAAAAUC